rnacentral:rRNA from 1 species
GUCUUUUAAUUGAAGGCUGGAAUGAAAGGGGGGACGAUAGUUAAGCUUUUUAAAAACAGGGUGGAAAUUAAUAUCUAUAUGAAAAAGUAUAGCUUUUUAGGGGGACGAUAAGACCCUAUAAAACUUUAUUUUACGCGCGUAGUUUUUGAUUUUGAAGUUUGAGGGUUUGAGUAAAAUUAAGCUGGGGCAGCAUCUAGGAUAUUUUAGAAAACUUAACACUUCUGGGUGGUAUGAAAGAUCUUGUAUAGAGAUAGAGAAGUUACUUUAGGGAUAACAGCACAAUUUUUUUGUAAAGACCACAUAGAGGAAAAAGACUUGUGAC